GACGAACGCUGGCGGCGUGCUUAACACAUGCAAGUCGAACGGAAAGGCCUGCUUUCCCUUGUGGAUUGCGGGUACUCGAGUGGCGAACGGGUGAGUAACACGUGAGUGAUCUGCCCCCAACUUGGGUAUAAGCCUGGGAAACUGGGUCUAAUUCCCGAUACGACUGCAGGGUGGUGCCUGUGGUGGAAAACGAUUUUCUAGUGGUUGGGGAUGAGCUCGCGGCCUAUCAGCUUGUUGGUGGGGUAAUGGCCUACCAAGGCGGCGACGGGUAGCCGGCCUGGGAGGGUGGACGGCCACAUUGGGACUGAGAUACGGCCCAGACUCCUACGGGAGGCAGCAGUGGGGAAUAUUGCACAAUGGGCGGAAGCCUGAUGCAGCGACGCCGCGUGGGGGAUGACGGCCUUCGGGUUGUAAACUCCUUUCGACCGCGAGGAAGCCACCUGGUUGGAAGGGUGGUGACGGUAGUGGUAGAAGAAGCACCGGCUAACUACGUG
rnacentral:rRNA from 1 species